rnacentral:rRNA from 1 species
CAGCCGCCACGGUAAUACAGAGGGUGCGAGCGUUAAUCGGAUUUACUGGGCGUAAAGCGUGCGUAGGCGGCUUUUUAAGUCGGAUGUGAAAUCCCUGAGCUUAACUUAGGAAUUGCAUUCGAUACUGGGAAGCUAGAGUAUGGGAGAGGAUGGUAGAAUUCCAGGUGUAGCGGUGAAAUGCGUAGAGAUCUGGAGGAAUACCGAUGGCGAAGGCAGCCAUCUGGCCUAAUACUGACGCUGAGGUACGAAAGCAUGGGGAGCAAACAGGAUUAGAUACCCCCGUAGUCCCUGUCCUUAUACC